rnacentral:rRNA from 1 species
GUAAAGCGGCGGACGGGUGAGUAACGCGUGGGAAUCUGCCUGAUAUGGGGGGACAACAUCUCGAAAGGGAUGCUAAUACCGCAUACGCCCUAAGGGGGAAAGCAGGGGGAUCUUCGGACCUUGUGCUAUCAGAUGAGCCCGCGUCGGAUUAGCUAGUUGGUAGGGUAAAGGCCUACCAAGGCGACGAUCCGUAGCUGGUCUGAGAGGAUGAUCAGCCACACUGGAACUGAGACACGGUCCAG